rnacentral:rRNA from 1 species
UGGGGAAUAUUGCACAAUGGGCGAAAGCCUGAUGCAGCAACGCCGCGUGAGUGAUGAAGGCCUUCGGGUUGUAAAGCUCUGUCUUCUGGGACGAUAAUGACGGUACCAGAGGAGGAAGCCACGGCUAACUACGUGCCAGCAGCCGCGGUAAUACGUAGGUGGCAAGCGUUGUCCGGAUUUACUGGGCGUAAAGGAUGCGUAGGCGGAUACUUAAGUCAGAUGUGAAAAUCCCGGGCUUAACUUGGGAACUGCAUUUGAAACUGGGUAUCUAGAGUGCGGGAGAGGAGAGUGAAAUUCCUAGUGUGGCGGUGAAAUGCGUAGAGAUUAGGAAGAACACCAGUGGCGAAGGCGACUUUCUGGACCGUAACUGACGCUGAGGCAUGAAAGCGUGGGGAGCAAA